rnacentral:rRNA from 1 species
GUCUAUGGCCAUACCACCCUGAACGUGCCUGAUCUGGGAAGCUAAGUAGGGUUGGCCCUGGUUAGUACUUGGAUGGGAGACUGUCUGGGAAUACCGGGUGCUGUAGGCU